ACCGGAAUGAUGGCACGGUGCUACACAAAUUAGACAUGAGAAAAUAGUCACCAGAAUGAUACACGGUGACCCAACUUUUGCUAACAUAAUCGUUGGCCGGACGGGCGGCAUAUAUGGAUAAUAGCUGCCCGCCAGCAGCGGAAGCUCUUUGAUUGUUUACCAAGAUCGUAGAGGCUCUGAUACCAUGCGAGAAAUAUAGGAAAAGAAUAUUAUUGAAUUGUGUUGUUGUGUCUACAUUAUUGCAUUGAGAUCCUAUUUAUAGACACUAGAAUACAAUCCUUUAUCAAGUAGGAUACUAUUUACUAUUCCUAUUCCUAUUCUAAAUAGGAUUGUAUAAAUGUAUUCAUAUUCUAAGAGGAUUGUGUAAACCUAUUCCUAUUCUAAUAGGAAUGUAUAAACCUAUUCCUAUUCUAACAGCUACAUCCUUUUUCCUGUGAGUAAGUAUUCUGUGCAAU
rnacentral:lncRNA from 1 species